UUCGGAGAGUUUGAUCCUGGCUCAGGAUGAACGCUGGCGGCGUGCCUAAUACAUGCAAGUCGAGCGAACUGAUUAGAAGCUUGCUUCUAUGACGUUAGCGGCGGACGGGUGAGUAACACGUGGGCAACCUGCCUGUAAGACUGGGAUAACUUCGGGAAACCGAAGCUAAUACCGGAUAGGAUCUUCUCCUUCAUGGGAGAUGAUUGAAAGAUGGUUUCGGCUAUCACUUACAGAUGGGCCCGCGGUGCAUUAGCUAGUUGGUGAGGUAACGGCUCACCAAGGCAACGAUGCAUAGCCGACCUGAGAGGGUGAUCGGCCACACUGGGACUGAGACACGGCCCAGACUCCUACGGGAGGCAGCAGUAGGGAAUCUUCCGCAAUGGACGAAAGUCUGACGGAGCAACGCCGCGUGAGUGAUGAAGGCUUUCGGGUCGUAAAACUCUGUUGUUAGGGAAGAACAAGUACAAGAGUAACUGCUUGUACCUUGACGGUACCUAACCAGAAAGCCACGGCUAACUACGUGCCAGCAGCCGCGGUAAUACGUAGGUGGCAAGCGUUAUCCGGAAUUAUUGGGCGUAAAGCGCGCGCAGGCGGUUUCUUAAGUCUGAUGUGAAAGCCCAGGGCUCAACCGUGGAGGGUCAUUGGAAACUGGGGAACUUGAGUGCAGAAGAGAAAAGCGGAAUUCCACGUGUAGCGGUGAAAUGCGUAGAGAUGUGGAGGAACACCAGUGGCGAAGGCGGCUUUUUGGUCUGUAACUGACGCUGAGGCGCGAAAGCGUGGGGAGCAAAAAGGAUUAGAUAACAUGGUAGGCGACGGCGUAAACGAUGAGUGCUAAGUGUUAGAGGGUUUCCGCCCUUUAGUGCUGCAGCUAACGCAUUAAGCACUCCGCCUGGGGAGUACGGUCGCAAGACUGAAACUCAAAGGAAUUGACGGGGGCCCGCACAAGCGGUGGAGCAUGUGGUCUACUUCGAAGCAACGCGAAGAACCUUACCAGGUCUUGACAUCCUCUGACAACUCUAGAGAUAGAGCGUUCCCCUUCGGGGGACAGAGUGACAGGUGGUGCAUGGUUGUCGUCAGCUCGUGUCGUGAGAUGUUGGGUUAAGUCCCGCAACGAGCGCAACCCUUGAUCUUAGUUGCCAGCAUUUAGUUGGGCACUCUAAGGUGACUGCCGGUGACAAACCGGAGGAAGGUGGGGAUGACGUCAAAUCAUCAUGCCCCUUAUGACCUGGGCUACACACGUGCUACAAUGGAUGGUACAAAGGGCUGCAAGACCGCGAGGUCAAGCCAAUCCCAUAAAACCAUUCUCAGUUCGGAUUGUAGGCUGCAACUCGCCUACAUGAAGCUGGAAUCGCUAGUAAUCGCGGAUCAGCAUGCCGCGGUGAAUACGUUCCCGGGCCUUGUACACACCGCCCGUCACACCACGAGAGUUUGUAACACCCGAAGUCGGUGGAGUAACCGUAAGGAGCUAGCCGCCUAAGGUGGGACAGAUGAUUGGGGUGAAGUCGUAACAAGGUAGCCGUAUCGGAAGGUGCGGCUGGAUCACCUCCUUUCU
rnacentral:rRNA from 1 species